UCAAAUCUUCUGUCACAAUAAAGACAUUCAACACUUCCACCCUCCAUUUAACGCCUUACGGUGUUCACGUGUCUUAAGCUCCGCCCACGGACAUUUCAUUUAGACUCCACCCCUCACCUCACGUUGCUGAAAUGAAAAGCAGAUGGAAGAAGUUGACAAUUAGGAAUCAUUUUGCAUCAGUAGUGUUGCUGUGAGCUGAAUCGGCACUGCCUGUGCAACAUUUGGCAAAGUAAGUGAACGCUACGUUAUAUCUUCAUUAUACUGUCUUCAUUUUUAAUGAGCUAAUGGCUAACUAGCUAAUUGGCACGAGGAGCCCCCACACGUAGGCCUGCUGGCCCCCAGCAAAGGACUUGAUAUGCUGUACAACAUACAAGAUAUCAAGCAAACCUUUCCUUGAGUCUUACAUGAAUAUGACUCCACUAUCCCCAGCUUCACCCCAGUUAUCGCCAGUUGGUGGUGAGUCUCCACUCUUGCCUGCUCCAUCCCAUUCAUCAGGUUCGGCAAUUUAUCCUUCAGCCCACAAGAAAGAGGAACCCAACAGAACCAAUGGAUCAGGAUGAAGCAUGACAGUAUCUCAGAGGUUCCUGGCUAAGUGAUCAACCGUCUUCAAAGCAAAAGUCACUGCAGACUGCAAGACUCUCCCGCAAAAGCAGAACAUUGAUGAGUUGCUGUCAGGAACUGAACCUCAACCUGAUGACAGCUGUGGCUGGGGCAGUGAUACAUCCUCCAUCCUUCUACUCCUGCAUCUGCUCCCGCCGACUUUUAGAGGCCAGAAAAAAAACAAAACAGUAAAGAUCAGUUUGGCUCAAGCAGCCAACCAUCUUCUCAGACAUCUUAAGAAAAGAGCCAGUGUGACCCCCUUCCAAGACUGUUGACACAAGACAACCAUUUCUCCUCUGCAUCAGUGAGCAAAGGUGACAUCCAGAGGUUCUACAUUAUUGACCAAAAGCCGGUUCCAUGCAAGGCACAUACAUUUAUUGCAGCUUUUGAUGAACUGUUCAAAGCUCACUUUGUCUUCAGUCUCUCGUAUGGUUAAAAAUGGAUAAGAGCAAACAUUUGGGUCUGAAUGCUGCCCAGUCAUGGUGUCUUCUACGUAACACUCCACUUAUAUUUGAUGUUAUUGAAAGGAGAAUGAUCACUGGAACUUCCUCCUCCUUUUGAUGCAGAUUGUCAACAUAGUGUUCUCCUACACCAUAACUGAUGGAAUGAUCCUUUACUUGAAACAUCUGAUAAGUGACCACCACACUCGGUACAAAGCAUUGCUUCCUGGUAAGAAGUUGAUUCCCAAGCACCGCUUGAUGAUACUAUCCAAGAUGCAUACAAAACAUUGGCCCUCUUAUCCAUACGUGGUGCAUGUGUUUUUGAAGCCACACAAUUUUUUAAGGUGUGGUUAAAAUUUUUAAAAAUUUGUUGUUGUGGCCUUUCAUGAUGAAAAUUACUAUUUUAGAAGAUUUGAAUUUGGCCCUACAACAUCAAAAACAAUCUGCAAGUUGAAAAGUGGGGAGGAACGUGGUCAGGCAUGAUGUCUGCAAGCAUCUUCCAAGUGUGUCAAGUACCAACUGGGUGAGACGUUACGGUAUAGAGCACCAGGUUAGUUUGUUCACAUGUACUGGAUGUAGCUUUGAUCUACCUGUGUUCAAGAAGAUCUGUGAUAUAAUAAUACUAAAAGAAUGUGCUAUGAUGACCUGUUUAAUGUGUACUGCAUUGAAGACUAAAACGGUUGCGUUUUCUAUCAUUUGACAAGCAGUGCUCUAAUGACAAUUGUUAAAGAGCAUACGAAGUGCCCUAAUGUUGUU